UACGUAGGGUGCAAGCGUUGUCCGGAAUUAUUGGGCGUAAAGAGCUCGUAGGCGGUUCGUCACGUCGGCUGUGAAAUCCCGAGGCUCAACCUCGGGUCUGCAGUCGAUACGGGCGGACUGGAGUACUGCAGGGGAGACUGGAAUUCCUGGUGUAGCGGUGAAAUGCGCAGAUAUCAGGAGGAACACCGAUGGCGAAGGCAGUGGUCUGGGCCGGUACUGACGCUGAGGAGCGAAAGCGUGGGGAGCGAACAGG
rnacentral:rRNA from 1 species